CGCAUCUUGCGCCCCUUGGUUAUUCCGAGGGGCAUGCCUGUUUGAGUGUCGUUAUCCUUCUCACUCCUUUCUCUCUAACGUUUUCAUUAGCGUCGGAGAGGGGAGUGGAUCGUGGCCCCUGCCGUCUUCUUCACUAAGGUGGAGGGAACAGCUGGGCCGAAAGAUAGACAAGUGCCUUCGUUGGAUAAGCAGUCGAACGCUUGACGUUGUAACCAUCCUCGUCUUGUUCGAUCAGCGUGCUAUCUGAAGAGGGCGACUUUGGAAACCCACCUCGGUUUUGUCUUUCACCGGACAAGUCCAAGAAUACAAGAAUAUGACCUCAAAUCAGGCAGGACUACCCGCUGAACUUAA
rnacentral:misc_RNA from 1 species